CUUUUCUAGCCGGAAGAGAAGGCAGGCCAGCGCCAUCUUUGCUGUGCCCAACAGUAACUAGAUGUGAGCUGUGGUAUCAACUAUGAAAACCGAUCGUGGUAUCCCUCCUGAAAUUUCUGUAGAUUGAUUGUGCUGGUUCAGCUCAGAUAAAAGGUCAGCAAAUGCAAAAGGAAACACCCAUAUG
rnacentral:lncRNA from 1 species